AUGGGAUUUUUGCUCCUUGUAAUUUUCGCUGUAGCCGCUUUGGAAGGUGUCCGGUCCCAGGUGCAGCUGGUGGAGUCCGGAGGGGAUGUGAAAAAGCCCGGAGACUCUCUCCGCCUCUCCUGCAAAGCCUCCGGGUUCGACUUCAGCAGCUAUUACAUGAGCUGGGUCCGACAGGCUCCUGGCAAAGGACUAGAAUGGGUCGCUUAUCUCAACAGCGCUGGGGGUGAUAUACAAUACCUUGAUUCAGUGAAAGGCCGAUUCACCAUCUCCAGGGAUAAUCCCAAGAGUGAGCUGUAUCUGCAAAUGACCGGCCUGAAGCCCGAGGACACCGCCCGCUAUUACUGUGGGAAGGGGCAGCACACCGGGCUCUUCGGAGGUGGGUCUCUCGGUCCCUCUCAGAGGGAAGGACCUGCUGCAGAAUUGCAGCCGAACCUCCGAUCGCGGCUGCACAAACCCGGAGCCUCCCUUCAAGAGACGCAGGCGUGA